UUUCCGUAGGUGAACCUGCGGAAGGAUCAUUAAAGAGUAAGGGUGCUCGCCGCCCGACCUCCAACCCUCUGUUGUUAAAACUACCUUGUUGCUUUGGCGGGACCGCUCGGUCUCGAGCCGCAGGGGCUUCGGCCCAGGCGAGCGCCCGCCAGAGUUAAACCAAACUCUUGUUUAUAUAACCGGUCGUCUGAGCAAAAAUUUUGAAUAAAUCAAAACUUUCAACAACGGAUCUCUUGGUUCUCGCAUCGAUGAAGAACGCAGC
rnacentral:misc_RNA from 1 species